rnacentral:rRNA from 1 species
GCUACGGUGAAUACGUUCCCGGGUCUUGUACACACCGCCCGUCACACCACGAGAGUUUGUAACACCCGAAGCCGGUGGAGUAACCUUUUAGGAGCUAGCCGUCGAAGGUGGGACAAAUGAUUGGGGUGAAGUCGUAACAAGGUAGCCGUAUCGGAAGGUGCGGCUGGAUCACCUCCUUUCUAAGGA